rnacentral:tRNA from 1 species
GCUCAGUUGGUUGAGCAGCCAACUCUUGGUUUCAGCUCAGGUCAUGGUCUUAAGGUCGUGGGAUCAAGCCCCACACUCAGCA